AUUGAACGCUGGCGGCAUGCCUUACACAUGCAAGUCGAACGGCAGCACGGGUGCUUGCCCCUGGUGGCGAGUGGCGAACGGGUGAGUAGUACAUCGGAAGAUGUCCUGUAGUGGGGGAUAGCCCGGCGAAAGCCGGAUUAAUACCGCAUACGAUCUACGGAGGAAAGCGGGGGACUUUCGGGCCUCGCGCUAUAGGGUUGGUCGAUGGCUGAUUAGCUAGUUGGUGGGGUAAAGGCCUACCAAGGCGACGAUCAGUAGCUGGUCUGAGAGGACGACCAGCCACACUGGGACUGAGACACGGCCCAGACUCCUACGGGAGGCAGCAGUGGGGAAUUUUGGACAAUGGGCGAAAGCCUGAUCCAGCAAUGCCGCGUGUGUGAAGAAGGCCUUCGGGUUGUAAAGCACUUUUGUCCGGAAAGAAAUCCUUGGCUCUAGUACAGUCGGGGGAUGACGGUACCGGAAGAAUAAGCACCGGCUAACUACGUG
rnacentral:rRNA from 1 species